UGCAUGUCUAAGUACACGCCUUAGCAAGGCGAAACCGCGAAUGGCUCAUUAAAUCAGUUAUGGUUCCUUAGAUCGUACACUAUUACUUGGAUAACUGUGGUAAUUCUAGAGCUAAUACAUGCAGCUGAGCCCUCUAUGGUCCCUCGUGGAACUGGAGGGUGCUUUUAUUAGACCAAGACCAAACGGGAUCUCCGGAUCCCGAUCGUCAUGGUGACUCUGGAUAACUCUGGCGGAUCGCACGGUCAUAGCACCGGCGACGCAUCUUUCAAGUGUCUGCCUUAUCAACUGUCGAUGGUAGGCUAUGCGCCUACCAUGGUUGUUACGGGUAACGGGGAAUCAGGGUUCGAUUCCGGAGAGGGAGCAUGAGAAACGGCUACCACAUCCAAGGAAGGCAGCAGGCGCGCAAAUUACCCACUCCCGGCACGGGGAGGUAGUGACGAAAAAUAACAAUACGGGACUCUUUCGAGGCCCCGUAAUUGGAAUGAGUACACUCUAAACCCUUUAACGAGGAUCUAUUGGAGGGCAAGUCUGGUGCCAGCAGCCGCGGUAAUUCCAGCUCCAAUAGCGUAUAUUAAAGUUGUUGCGGUUAAAAAGCUCGUAGUUGGAUCUCAGUCGCGCUCCCAUCGCCGCGCCGCAAGGUGUCGAGCGUUGGGGCCGGCAAACCGUCGGUCGACACGCUUGGCCUUCAAAAGCUGAGCGCGUGGUCCGGCACCUUUACUUUGAAAAAAUUAGAGUGCUCAGAGCAGGCCGAGGCCUGGAUACCGGUGCAUGGAAUAAUGGAAUAGGACCUCGGUUCUAUUUUGUUGGUUUUUGGAUCCCGAGGUAAUGAUUAAGAGGGACAGCCGUGGGCAUUCGUAUUGCGGCGACAGAGGUGAAAUUCUUGGACCGCUGCAAGACGAACUACUGCGAAAGCAUUUGCCAAGAAUGUUUUCAUUAAUCAAGAACGAAAGUUAGAGGUUCGAAGGCGAUCAGAUACCGCCCUAGUUCUAACCAUAAACGAUGCCAACCAGCAAUCCGCCUGAGUUUCUAUACGACUCGGCGGGCAGCUUCCGGGAAACCACAGUGUUUGGGUUCCGGGGGAAGUAUGGUUGCAAAGCUGAAACUUAAAGGAAUUGACGGAAGGGCACCACCAGGAGUGGAGCCUGCGGCUUAAUUUGACUCAACACGGGGAAACUUACCCGGCCCGGACACCGGAAGGAUUGACAGAUUAAUAGCUCUUUCUUGAUUCGGUGGGUGGUGGUGCAUGGCCGUUCUUAGUUGGUGGAGUGAUUUGUCUGGUUAAUUCCGAUAACGAACGAGACUCUAGCCUACUAAAUAGACCCACGACCCUAGGUGUCGUGAGCGGGUCUUCUUAGAGGGACAGGCGGCUUUUAGCCGCACGAAACAGAGCAAUAACAGGUCUGUGAUGCCCUUAGAUGUCCGGGGCCGCACGCGCGCUACACUGAAGGGAUCAGCGUGUGUCUACCCUAGUUCGAAAGGACCGGGUAAUCCGUUGAACCCCCUUCGUGAUGGGGAUAGGGGAUUGUAAUUGUUCCCCUCGAACGAGGAAUUCCCAGUAAGCGCGAGUCAUCAGCUCGCGUUGAUUACGUCCCUGCCCUUUGUACACACCGCCCGUCGCUACUACCGAUUGAAUGAUUUAGUGAGGUCUUCGGACUGGUGCGAGGAGCGGUUUUUAUCGUUCUUCGCGUCGGGAAGAUGACCGAACUUGAUCAUUUAGAGGAAGUAAAAGUCGUAACAAGGUUGCC
rnacentral:rRNA from 1 species